rnacentral:rRNA from 1 species
UACAGAGGUGCCGAGCGUUAGGCGGAAUCACUGGGCUUAAAGUGUGUGUAGGCGGAUGCCUAAGUACCUUGUGAAAUCCCAUAGCUCAACUAUGGAACUGCUUGGUAUACUGGGUGUCUUGAGCCACUUAGGGGUUACCGGAACAAAUGGUGGAGCGGUGAAAUGCGUAGAUAUCAUUUGGAACGCCAAUGGUGAAAACAGGUAACUGGGAGUGUGCUGACGCUGAGACACGAAAGCCAGGGGAGCGAACGGG